rnacentral:rRNA from 1 species
UGGGGAAUAUUGGACAAUGGGGGCAACCCUGAUCCAGCAAUGCCGCGUGUGUGAAGAAGGUCUUCGGAUUGUAAAGCACUUUCGACGGGGACGAUGAUGACGGUACCCGUAGAAGAAGCCCCGGCUAACUUCGUGCCAGCAGCCGCGGUAAUACGAAGGGGGCUAGCGUUGCUCGGAAUGACUGGGCGUAAAGGGCGUGUAGGCGGUUUACACAGUCAGAUGUGAAAUCCCCGGGCUUAACCUGGGAGCUGCAUUUGAUACGUGUAGACUAGAGUGUGAGAGAGGGUUGUGGAAUUCCCAGUGUAGAGGUGG